rnacentral:piRNA from 1 species
UGAAUGUCUGUGUAGCCUG